AGAAUUCUUCCCUUGUGUUAAUAAUAUCCUAUACUUAACACAAACACAUGGUUAACUUAUAACCUAAAGAUCAGUAUAAAUUACUGUUGAUAAAAGUGGGUGAAACCACUUAUCACUACAUAAUAUAUGCUUCCAUUUUAAUGCUGCAUUUCAUAAAGCAAUAAAUCCAUCAUAAAACUUUGUACUUUAUGCAAGGGCCUUAUCUAAACACAUGUAUUACGUGUCCCUCCUUAGGUUUCAACCAGUGAAAAUCCACUAGGUUGUAUGAGCAACUGAAACACCAUCCAAUCAUUCUGAACUUUGAUAUCGACUGUGCUGAAGGCUUAUUUAGCACAUUAUCAGAAAUUAAGCAGCAUUAGGAUUACUAAGCAAGGAAGAAACCUGCUGUCAUUCCACUGUCUCCUGUGCUUUGUCUUUAUUAAAGGAACAAUAUUAAGGCCUAUAAGACAACUCUUCUUCUGCAAGUUACUGGAAUAAGAAUGAGUGCAAUGUCACACCAAGGAACCAACAGUGGAGGAAGAUUAAUCUUGGGUCAUCACUCAGAAAUGGUGUACAGGAAAAUGACCUAUGAACUGACAGACAAUUUGGCUAAGUCCGUCUGUCAUUUCUGUAGGCCAAUAUUCUGUAUAUCUCUUCUACUUCAAAAUCAGAAUUCAACUAAUAUGAUGCAAGCAACACAAUGGGAGAUGCACAGAAAAAAAUCUGCAACAUAAGCAUGUAUCGACUGUAAGCAGAAAAUAAAUAAUACCUGAUGAAAAUCUGCUUGUGUUUUUCUGACAAAGCUCACAUUUAUUUCACCUGGCUUAGUGACCAAUCGACCUAUGUACCGUUUUAUUGUCAUUAUUGUCAAAUAAACUAAUUUCCUCUUCUUACUAAUAUAUACAUAUGUCCACCUCCAUCACUUCAAGGAAAUUCCCUAAAAAUCUUGUUCUCUAAACACUAAAAAAAACCCCCAAAAACGAGGAACAAUGACAACGGCUUAUACACAUUCCUUAAAAGAAAACUGUACAGUGUGGAAUUUUAAAUAAUACCUGUGUAAACUUAUGUCAACUUUAAGGUAUUAAGGUAUCAGCAGUCUACAUCUGACCAAGCUCUCAAUUAUAAGAACAACAUGGGCAACACUAUUUAGCCCAAAGAGCCUUGGCUCCAAUCUGUAAUAAUACUGACGAAGUCUUACAGUGACUUCCUGGCCUCCAACCUCUAGCUUUUCUUCCUAAAAUAUACUCUCACUCCUCAUGCCUAUUUAAGAAUUUAAACUGCUUAACCUAGUAUUCAAAACUCACUACAAUUUGCCCCCACAAACCUCUCUCAGCACUUGACUUUCUAAAACCCCCCUCAACAGCGAACAGUCCCAUUAUGGCUCCUAUACAUGUGCUAUGCUUUCCCUGCUCCACACCCUCAGCUCCUGCUAAUUCCUCCGCUUGCAAAAUACUUUCCUACCUAAUCCUCAAGGCCCUACUCAAAUGCCGCAUCUUCUGUGAAGAAAGCAAACGAGCUGUUUUAUGGCGAUAUUUGCCCAAGGCAGAACCUGCAGUUCUUCCCUGAGCCAUGUUGCCAUAAGGGGUCAGGUUCCCCACGAAACAGUGACAGAAUGUAUAUUUCAAAUUGACGAAGAACUUCUACACAAAAAACACUAAGAACUACCUAAUACGUGGCUAUCGAUGAUUAAAACACACAAACAAACAAACCCACUUUAAUCAACAUUCAAAAAAAACCCUGAAACACAUGCAUUCAUAAAAGGACCACCUAAAGAAAUACUGAUAACACUGACGAUGAAAACUAGGAACUUUUUACAAAAAUUCUGAUGAACCCCAAAGUAGAAACAUGCAAUUCUACGUCUACAGUCUCUCGAACUCCCCAUCAUUACUUAGUGGCCUCCAUGCCCUCAAAAACCUUAUUGGAUCCUCAAAUGAUAAAAUGUGAAAAUAUUUAUCAAAAUGGGCUCAAACUUUUCAUUCAUGUUAAAACAUAACUUAGUAAAAUUUCCAUUAACCAGAUUAAAACAAAUUACUCAGGGGUGCCUGAGUGGCUCAGUCAGCUGAGCAUCCAACUCUUGGUUUUGGCUUGGGUCAUGAUCUCAGUUUGUGAGUUCGAGCCCCACGUCAGGCUCCACACUGACAGCCCAGAGCCUGCUUGGGAUUCUCUGUCUCUCUCUCUCCCUGUCUCUCCCCCACUCGCACUGUCUCCGUCUCUCUCAAAAUAAAUAGAUUUUAAAAAAUUACUCAAAAAAAAAGGAAAACGUAGGAUGUAUUCUUAAAAGGAAUGAUUACUAUUUCCCUGUCCACAUCUGUUAGUAAAAGCUAUACCGAAUACCGAAAACCUCCCUAAUGUACUAGAAGAUAAACUAGCUAGACUGUUCCCUCAUGAAAAGCAGGGACAAUGUCAGUCUAUACACUGCCUCGCCUCGAGAAGAGUCUAGUGUGUGGAUUAGGAAAAAAAUCUUUCCACCGUUUAAGUUUCUCUACCCUGCACUGUCGACAAUGUCCAUGUAUUAUCUUCUCAAAAGAAAAAAAAGAAAAAACCUUAAAGAAAAGAGAAGAAGCAGUUGGGAAGGUAAUCAUCACUAAAAUAAACGUUAAUUUUGUGCAUUUAACUAUGUAACAGUUUCUUAAAUUUUAAAGGAUCUAUAAAUCAUUAUACAAUGUCAUUUCUAUUCAAACAGUAGCCUGAAGUAAGAGAGGGACUCUGAUUCCUAAAGAAAAACUGCAUACUUGGAUCCCCUCCUGAACGCUGUUCAUCUUUGGAUUCCUGACACUGGAUUCUAGCACAAUGCUAGGCACACAGUCAGAAACCAUGGAUU